AUUUUUCUUGCAAACCAUUGACGCGCGGACCGUAUCGCACCACGGGAAAUCUAGAAAAUCUCAUUUACUCGUUUAAGUGAUUCCAGUCCAAUAAGCAGAUUAUGUACUAUUACGAAAGGAUGUUUCCGUGCGAGGAAGCGAAUGACAAGCAACGAUAACCGAUUAUUUCUUUUUCCAUUUCCUCUUCCGAGAGAUUCAGCUGGCCGUUCUGUAAUCCGAAGCAUCGCGAAUGAAUCGUUGUCGCAAUGCAAAAAUAGUACCUCGAGGAAACGCUAACUACGAAAAUAUUUACACAACUGAGAUCGAACAUUCGUUACACCGCGCGCGUCCGUGCGCUCGUGCGCUCGUGCGUGCAAAGCUUUUCUCAACAGAUAUACACGAAACGCGUCUGCACACGUCUUUCUUUCGAAAUGAAAUUCAAUUUCUAUCUUUGAUGCAUUUCGCAUCGUUUCAUCGGUUCUUCUUCCUUCUGCUUUGCGUUUCUUCUCCUUUUUGCUUGAAACACACCUUACACUCGAGAUAUUUAACGAACGUCUACCCCCGAAUUCUCAACGCUGCUACUAUUGUACCAUCGCUAGAACAAAUUGUAGUAGAGACGAGAACGAGAACGAGAACGAGAACCGAACCAGCGCAAUUUGGGCUCUACUUCUGGUUCCGAUUUCAAUAUCCUACCGAUAUACUCGGGUAUAAUUUUUCUGUUACGAGAAGGAGCACGAUGGAAGAGAAACGGAUAGAGUGCGCAUUGUGUGUGCUUUACCUGUUAUCCGCAAUCUUAUCUUUGACGUCGUUGACUAGUUUCGUUACUGUUUGGCAACAUUGGACACGAACAUUGAACGUUUGCAUCAGUAUCGACUGUGGUUGCAUACUUUACUCUAUCAAUACCUUCAGCACUUUUAUGGGAGGUGACGUGAAACUCUGCCAAUUUGGCGCGUAUGGCUCGAUUCCAGCAAUUCUGAUCGGUUUGUGUCUCGGUGGAUACCAUGCGUAUAGAUGUUGCAUUCACAGAAAUUUGGAUAAACCCGUGCAAGUCCAGGAUAACGCGAGCAGGAACUUGCAGAGUGACGUCGAUCGAGUGCCGGUCACCGUAGUGGCCAGGCCCAAAAGAAGAAGCCGGUACAAGCAUUGGAUACCCGUUGUAUUUCUCGCUACUUUGUUUUCUUGUUUAUUACUGGCGCAUGCGAUCGUUAUGACCGACGGUUACUACAAGACCUGCGAGCAAUUCAGAAAAAGGAUUAUACAAGAACAUCGUUCGGUGGGUGGCGAAGCCGAGAUGAUACACAAUCGAUUUUCUUGCGGAGCAAUCUUCGACUUUAUGGACUUUGCCCAGGUAACGGAGGACAAUUGGAUACGCGGGAAACAAAUCGAUACCGGUGCUGCUCUGAGAUUAGCAGUAGUAUCCGCAUGGCUGAGCUUCUUUGUCUGGACACUUGUAUUUCUCUUAAGCGUUUCCAUGGUGCGGCAAAAAUUGUGUCGUUGCUGACGCGACUCGCGACGUUUCGCCCGAGAUGUUUCUCGAUUCCCUAGACCGAUCUGCAGAGACAUUGCUGUGCUAGUGCGAUCUCAACGGAAUCUUAAAGGAGAGCCAUUUAUAAUUCGAUCAUUAGAGGAACAAGUUUCUUAUAGAUGAAAAUUACGCCAUCGCUUGUACAUCUGGAGGUUUCAACAAUGAAAACUACACGACAUCGGGCCGCGAAAGUUUCAAGUUUCAAGUUUCUGCAACGGGAAAUUUCCAAAACAGAAACAUUUGUAUUUCUGCUGUUGAAAAGAAACCAUGAAUCGGCUUAGUUUCUGCCAGAUUGCGGAAACUAUCUCUGAACUCGUAUACCGCGUUGUUACGGUUUCAAGAAACGCGCACAGGAUAUUCUUACCGUUCUACGAUAUCGUGUAACAAGUGUUUAGGCAAACAAAUCUUUUACUCUUGCACCUGUAAUUCACAAGCAACAAACUGAAAUUACGCGGCGUACUUAUCAUUAUACUUUCUUGUUUGUUUUCGUUCUCUCUAAUAGCACAGGAUGGAUUGUGGCAGUAGAAAUUUACAAAGUUACAAAUACUUACAAACGAAUGAAAAUCCGCAGCUACGAAAACAAAUGUAAAUCGCCAGAUCCCUUUGUCGCUAUAAAUGUGUGUACCAAUGGAAAGCUUUCUAUCGGAGAUGUUUUAAAAUUGCAAAAAUUGUGAAAAUUAUGACCGGCAAACAGAAAAUAGAAAACAGAACAAUUGGAUUCCUCCUCUCAAGUUCCUUCACUUUGCUACGUCUUCUAGAAUCGAUGCAUUUGUACGUUUAAAACAUAUCACUUUUCGAUACACGUUCGUCUGAGAAAUUUCCUCGUGGUAACUUUUUCCCGAUGGACAUCUUCGUGCCUCAAGUGAAUGGAUUGCUUCGCCUUUUUAACGAUCCAAAUCGUUUCUCCGGUUCUCGAACUACUUCGAAAGGCGUGAUUCUCUGUGGAGUUCCGAUUCGCUUCUCUUCGUUUUCAUCGCUCGGAAAAUCUUCGAAGCUGAGAUUGUUGAACCCAGCGGUAACGACAACGGAACAUUUCUUUGUCUUUGCGGUCUUUUUGUGACACGCAGACUUACCCUUGUACGAUAACAAACUCGCUGGUAGAACAUUCACGACGUCUCCAUGAUUUUCGUCGAUCAGCUGAUAUUUUGAUUUUUCCGAUUUAAACUUAUCCUUUUUGUGUUUCGGCGCGUCCUCUGCGACAACCAACGGUUCGGGCGACAUGGGUGAAACCAUGAUAUCCUGCGCACUAUCGAGUCUCGAUACACUGUUUGCGAGAGGAACGUUAAUUCGGGAAGAGCGUUGGACGGGCUGAAUGGCGUACGACGGAUCCAACGAAGCAGAUGCUGAUCGAGAAACGUUUGACGUUAUUGCCUUGUCGGAUCGUAUUAUGUUUAAAGUACCUUCGACAAAACUUGUCAGCUUGGAAGGUAACUGCUGAGAGUAUGCUCUCUGCGGUUGUUGUUGUUGCUGCUGCUGCUGCUGCUGCGUUUGCAGUUCCGACUGCUGUUGUUGUUGGUCAGUUCGAAGGGACGCAAAUUCGUCGAACGGAAUAGACCCGAAAAGAUCUUUCGAAUGAUCGUAAUCGUCCGUCGCGGCAGAAAAAUUUGAAUUUCUUAUCACCGAAACAGCUUCUUCCGGAGGGUGGACGUAUGAAACUGUCUCCAAUUGAUUCGGGCAAGAAGAUAUGCGAUUGUGGUUAUCGUACAAUAAAUUUCUGAUCCCCAAUUUUCUAAUCAACACAUCCGAUUCGUUCCCUACAGCAUAAUUCGAAACUGCUCGAUGCAUAAAAGGAUUCACAAAAUCGCACGGACUAAACGGCGAAGAGCCGAACAAAUCUUUUUCUUUGCUUUCUUUCUCCUUCUCCUUCUCCUUCUCUUUCUCUUUUCCUUUCUCUUUCUCUUUCUCUUCAUCCAGCUCCUUUUCUUGUUGCUUUCUCCUUUCAUUUUUUUCUGUUCCUUCCUUAGACCUUUUCUCUUCGCCUUCUCCAACGAUUCCAUCGAUAUUCAUCGUUACUCGAAACGGUAAAGGUCGUUGCUUUUCUAUGCAAGUUUCUUUGUACACCUGCCGAAACGAAUUGUAUUCGGGUAACGACUUGUUUUCGAUAGCUACCAUAGUGUCGAUCAAGUUAUCACUGCUGAUGUUCAUCGUCUCAUUCUCUUCGCCACUAUCGUUCUUUUUUAAACUGCUAGACUUCCGAAACGGAGCUAAAGAAAAUACGUCUUUCUUCAUUUUGAUCAAUCUAUCCUUUGAAAGCAUCGUCUUCUUGGUUUCGUUCGUCGAGCUGUCGUCAUCGGAAGACACGGGUCUCGAAUCGUACUGUUGAUCGACGAAUGGAUCGCCGUACGAUCGUUUCGAUGUUGAUUCUGUAUCAAGUUCAUCGUCCAACAACAGAGGCUUCUCUCCGUAUUGAUGUCCAACAAUCGGGUCCACGUGGAUUCGUCUCGAUAAAUGCCCUACAAGUUCUUUCUUAGACAUGUUUCUCUUGCAAUGCAUCUCGCGUAGCGUGCCGGCGGCUGGUUCGUAUACAUCGCGAGCCAUUGAAUAGUAGUUGUUGUUAGCUGCACUAUCGUCAUUGUCAUUGCCUCGUUCCUCCAGUUCCGCCUCGACCUCGAGCUCAAGCUCCAGCUUCUUCGCAUCCACAUCCGCACGAACCGCCAGCAGCUCAGUCUCCUCCUUUCUCUUCUCCUGAUCGUUGUCUACUUCUUUCCCUCUCUCCGGGCCCAUCAGCACCCCCACCGCCUCUCCAUCGUCCUCCUGCUUGUCCGCCUCUUCCUGUUUCUCCUCGUUCUCCUCCAUCUUCUCUUCCUCAUCCUCUUCCUCUUCCCUGCUAUCUUCUUCGUCUUCGUUCUCCUCCUUUUCCUCCCUUCUCUUUCCCGUUCUUCCCUUACCCUUUCGAUCCACGUUAACGUCCACGUUAGCGCUAUUCCCAACUGGGUUGUUGUGCAAACCAUUUAUGUUGAUAUUGUCAUUGGCAUUGACACGAAUCGAAUCUAUUGAGUAAUUUAGUUGGUCGUUUUGUUCGAUCGAAUUGUUCGUACUUUGCGGCAUUUUCAUCUUCCUGCGUAAUACAUUCUUAACUCUCCUUCUUUUUUGUUUGACUUGUUGUUGCUGCGUUACAUCUUUGUCGCUAUCACUGGAUAAAUCAUCGACGCUAAAAGUCAACUUUUCAUACUUGGAUCUAUCUUCCAUAGGUGCUUGAACAAACAAUGAAGAGGUAGGACCGUUGUUUAUCAAGAGGGUUGUUCUCUCGUCGGCUUUAACGCACUCGAUUCUCGAAUUCCAUUGAUUAGAGGGUAUUCUUGAUCUACCAUUUAUAGAUAUGCCUGAAAAAUAUAACAUAAACAUCGAUAAAAGUGACGUUUCGUACAACAGAUCACGAUAACUAGCCACGCACGAUGGUGGCAGCAACGAUACGCUGUCACGCAUUUUCCUAUACAUCGUAUUCGGUCGAGCCGUACAAGUGAAACGAAAUGAAAAAGAAAACGCGACAGCGACGGCGACGGCGGCGGCGACGGCGAUCACAACAACGGCGUUCACGUUUUCACCGAUACGAUAUUUACUAUUUUACGUUGAAGCGCACGCGUUUAAUACAAUUGAGAUUCGUUCUACUUACCUAAAACACAUGCGAUACAUUAUUACACUUUAAUCAUAUCGACUAACACAGAAUCAUUCAUCUUUGUACAAAUUUGUACACAUUUCAGUUACCUUUAUUUCCCUACUUUUAUCUUAUUUACUUCGUUUACUUGAUUUACUUCAUUUAUUAGGAGGAUUGUAACAUUUUAAAUUUAUAUGGUGAAACUGAACCGUGUAAAUCUCUUUUUGGUAAAGAUUCUUCCGCGUAAAACACAGGAACCAGUCUCGCGGACUUCGUUCUGGACUACGAAUCUGUGAAGAAAGCGCACACGAGUUUUAACAAAAAUAAGAAUAUCUAGUUGAAUAGGAGAAGCAGGAAAUAUCUGAUUACAUCUUUUACAGAUCAUGCCUUAUAAUCUUAUAAUUAUUAACAUUUCAGAGUUUACGACUUCCACCAUUUAUCAUCGUGCUUCGGACAUUCGAUAUAAAUGUUACAAAAGAAUCUUUUUCCCAAUCGUUCUUCAAGUAUUACCACUGUUUUCACCACCACCACCGCCACCAUCACCCUCACCAUCAUCUACAUCACUGUCAUCAUCACCAUCAUUACCACCAUCGCCAUCGCCAUCACCAUCACCAUCACCAUCACCAUCACCAC